UUUAUUAAAUAAGUUUUACUGACAUCUGAUCAGUUCUGUUGGCAUUUCUUUGAGUGUAGCUACAUCUAGUGGGUGCAUUGGAGAUUGUGUCAUAUAAUGCGGUGUGUCCAAUAUAUG